rnacentral:lncRNA from 1 species
CAGAAGGCAAGGAACAGACGAGCCCAGUGUGGGAUUUGGAUUCUGUGCUAUUUCUAUUCCAAGGAGGUAACCAAUCCCAUAGAAGAGGAAAUAGCAGUGCCCUUGUGACUUACCAUCUCAGAAUUUGAACUGUUUCCUGAGAUUUAGCAGCUGUUUGAGCCCUGUUGGAACUGGGUUCAGAUUUCUCUAUAUCUGGUGAUUUCAUGAUCUAACAAAUAGCAGAAUUAGGGAUUCAGAAUUUAUUUGUGAUCUUUAAACUUCAACCUGAAUCUGAAAGGACAGGCAUAUGGGGAAGUCAUGAUAUUAUUUGGGAGUGACAGUGGUAUAUCAGUCAGCUCCCACUGGGUUAAUAUGCAGUAACAAGCAAUUGAAGAGGCUUGGACCAAAGAUGGCUUGUUUCUCAUUUGCAUUAUGUUUGUGGCUGUGGCUCUGCUGCCUGUGACCACUCAUCUAGGACCCAAAUUGAAAGGGAAGUGCCAGGGACAACUGUGCUCCUAGACAGAAAUGGCAAGACAGCCAAGAGAAACAUGAAAUGGCAUUUGUAGCCCAGAACUAGCCUAGUCACUUCUACCCAUACUUUCUCUGCCACACUGCAUUGUAUGGCCAGGUCUGACCACCGGUGGAGAAGGUGUGCUGUGUCCUCUUCUAGGUACUACGAGUCUCGUGGAUGCUAGAGAUUACCCAUUCACUUACAGGAAGAGGGUGCCCAGGUGGCGGCGGGGCUCGGGCGACUUGGAGGAAAGAUUUAUCAUUACAGAGUACUCCAUUCAGGACUUCAUAAGCCUUCCACUCGUCCACCACACUGAGACUGGACAACAGCUGGCUCUCCCAGUACUUGAUCGUUAUCUCCACUUUCUUGGGGUCCCUGGAAGAUGCUGUCACCCCCAGACAAGAGAAAGUAAUUUAAGAACACAAUGCCCACAUUCCCAAGAGGCAGUGUUAUUGUUUUGUCCAAAAUGUUAUUGUUUUGUUUAAAAAGAAGAAAAGAGACUUUUAUUUAGACAAUAUCUGACAAUUGUUCUUAUUGUAUAUAGUUUUAUUACGUUAGAGUUAAAACUUUUCAUUUUUAUUUAGACAAAAGGGGGGAAAUGUUGCAGGAG